CCUACGGGGGGCUUCAGUAGGGAAUAUUGCUCAAUGGGGGAAACCCUGAAGCAGCAAAGCCGCGUGGAGGAUGAAGGCUUUCGGAUUGUAAACUCCUUUUGUUAGAGGAGUUAAUGACGGUAUCUAACGAAUAAGCACCGGCUAACUCCGUGCCAGCAGCCGCGGUAAUACGGAGGGUGCAAGCGUUACGCGGAAUUACUGGGCGUAAAGAGCGCGUAGGCGGGAUAGCAAGUCAGAUGUGAAAUCCUAUGGCUUAACCAUAGAACUGCAUUUGAAACUGUUAUUCUAGAGUAUGGGAGAGGUAGGUGGAAUUCUUGGUGUAGGGGUAAAAUCCGUAGAGAUCAAGAGGAAUACUGAUUGCGAAGGCGACCUGCUGGAACAUAACUGACGCUGAGGCGCGAAAGCGUGGGGAGCAAACAGGAUUAGAUACCCUUGUAGUC
rnacentral:rRNA from 1 species